rnacentral:rRNA from 1 species
AUUGAACGCUGGCGGCAGGCUUAACACGUGCAAGUCGAACGAUGAAACCUAGCUUGCUAGGUGGAUUAGUGGCGGACGGGUGAGUACAACUUAGGAAUCUACCUAUUAGCGGGGGAUAGCUCGGGGAAACUCGAGUUAAUACCGCAUACACCUUACGAGGGAAAGGGGCCUGAUCACUAAAUUUAAUUUAUAGUGUAUUUUAUUUACAAUAAUAUAAUUAAGUUAAAUUUAGUGGUCAGGUCUCACUAAUAGAUGAGCCUAAGCAAGAUUAGCUAGUUGGUGGGGUAAAAGCCUACCAAGGCGACGAUCUUUAGCUGGUCUGAGAGGAUGAUCAACCACACUGGGACUGAGACACGGCCCAGACUCCUACGGGAGGCAGCAGUGGGGAAUAUUGGACAAUGGGGGCAACCCUGAUCCAGCCAUGCCGCGUGUGUGAAGAAGGCCUUUUGGUUGUAAAGCACUUUAAGCAGUGAGGAAAAGCUAUAUGCUAAUACCAUAUAGCCCUGACGUUAACUGCAGAAUAAGCACCGGCUAACUCUGUGCCAGCAGCCGCGGUAAUACAGAGGGUGCAAGCGUUAAUCGGAAUUACUGGGCGUAAAGCGAACGUAGGUGGUCAAUUAAGUCAGAUGUGAAAUCCCUGAGCUCAACUUAGGAACUGCAUCUGAUACUGAUAGACUAGAGUAGGCGAGAGGAGAGUAGAAUUCCAGGUGUAGCGGUGAAAUGCGUAGAUAUCUGGAGGAAUACCGAUGGCGAAGGCAGCUCUCUGGCAUCAUACUGACACUGAGGUUCGAAAGCGUGGGUAGCAAACGGG